rnacentral:snoRNA from 1 species
UCAACUUCAGGGAUCUCUGACAUAAAACAUUUUCAAGAAUGAUAAGUCAUCUGCCCCAUGAUGUACAGUCCCUUUCCACAACGUUGGAGAUAAAGCUGGGCUUUGUGUCUGCGCCUGCAUAUUCCUACGACUUCUCAGAGUCCUGUGGACAAUGACUGGGGAGACAAACCAUGCAGGAGACAGCU